AUUGAACGCUGGCGGCAUGCCUUACACAUGCAAGUCGAACGGCAGCACGGGUGCUUGCACCUGGUGGCGAGUGGCGAACGGGUGAGUAAUACAUCGGAACAUGUCCUGUAGUGGGGGAUAGCCCGGCGAAAGCCGGAUUAAUACCGCAUACGAUCUACGGAUGAAAGCGGGGGAUCUUCGGGCCUCGCGCCAUAGGGUUGGCCGAUGGCUGAUUAGCUAGUUGGUGGGGUAAAGGCCUACCAAGGCGACGAUCAGUAGCUGGUCUGAGAGGACGACCAGCCACACUGGGACUGAGACACGGCCCAGACUCCUACGGGAGGCAGCAGUGGGGAAUUUUGGACAAUGGGCGAAAGCCUGAUCCAGCAAUGCCGCGUGUGUGAAGAAGGCCUUCGGGUUGUAAAGCACUUUUGUCCGGAAAGAAAUCCUUGGCCCUAAUACGGUCGGGGGAUGACGGUACCGGAAGAAUAAGCACCGGCUAACUACGUG
rnacentral:rRNA from 1 species